UACGUAGGGGGCAAGCGUUGUCCGGAAUCAUUGGGCGUAAAGAGCGUGUAGGCGGCCCGAUAAGUCCGCUGUGAAAGUCCAGGGCUCAACCCUGGGAUGCCGGUGGAUACUGUCGGGCUCGAGUGCGGGAGAGGUGAGUGGAAUUCCCAGUGUAGAGGUGAAAUUCGUAGAUAUUGGGAAGAACACCAGUGGCGAAGGCGGCUCACUGGCCCGUAACUGACGCUGAGGUGCGAAAGCGUGGGGAGCGAACAGG
rnacentral:rRNA from 1 species